AAUCGACUUAUCAUGUACAAUUAAUAUUUGACAAGCUGUUUUGGUAUUGCUUCUUAUCUUGCCAGUUGUCUGCAUAGAAAACAAAAAAGAAACAUACACAAACAAAAAAGUAUCAAUCACUUAACAUUGCGGUUCUCUUUUUUUUUUUUGACAGUGCAAACUCUUUCACCCAUGUGUUUUGGGAAGUGUCACAGAACAGGCAGGCAGCGCAGCUGGGCUGUGCUAUUAUAGCAUUUUCGUGAAACGACAGUAACACAACUCGACAUUUUUUUCUUGUUUAUUUUUUCGUUUUGUUUUCGUUUUUUUUUUUUUUAAAUCCAGUUUCUAUUACCAUUUUGUUAAGGAAAACUUUUCUCUUUUUUUUCGUUUUUGGGUUUAUUUUCGAUUUGGGACAGUGUUACGCAAUCUACAGUGCACUAUCAAAAAAAAAAAGAGUGUUUUUGUUAUGCCCCUCAUAAGUAUGGCUGCCGCGUGUGCCAUCAUUCGUCUUUAUGUAAAUACGUAAUGUCACAUGACUGAGGUUGCGUAAUUGCGGGAAAAUCUGAAAGGAAGGAAGGAGAAAGAAGGUCUUCACUUAUUCAGUCUAAGAUUCAAUCUGAGUGUGUGAAGAAGCGGCUUCAGGCAGUAAUGAAUACAAUUUGACAAAAACAAAGCAGUGCUGAAGCAUCAGGGAACACAGGGAAUCGGAGGAGUCCCCAUGCAAGGUGAACGGGCAAUCUGGAGAAAAAGGUUGUGAGCUGGUAGGUGGGAGGACGCUGAAGUACUUCUUGGGAAUUGCAGGAAGGAAGUAUUGUCAGUUAUCAAUGGAUUGUGGAAUUCUUUAAACAAUGACAAGUACUUAAUGAGGCUGAGUUCAAGGUGAGGAGAGAUAUCAUCAAUGGAAGGAAUCACAAAGGACCCAGGAGAGCUCGCACAACCAUGGGGAAAGCAGGCUGGGGCACAUGUCAGAAUAAAAGCGAAAAUGAAUGGAGCAAAUUACAGAGAAGUCCUUGAGGAAAACCUGCCCUCUGCAAGAAAGCUGA